CCGAUUUUAUGGCACCUGGGUGAUAAUACUGCGCCGUGAAUUCUUUUUUUUUUUAAUUGCUCGCGCGCGUUUUAUUGCAAGUGAGUCACUCCGGAGACGACAUUCUUUCAGCAGGCUUUGAAUGCUCUUGAGUAAACACGCGAGAUCUUGGCUGCAGAAGCCAAAUACCUACAUCAAUAGCAGACCCGCAAGACAAGAAUUUGACGAGGCGAAAAUUACAGCGUGACAAGUCCCAUCAUACGUCCUCGAAAUAUCCGAGGCUCUCUAAAAACACGAGCAUUCCCGGAGGGAGGGAAAGACUCGCUUUCGAGAAAACACAGCAGCAGUCUAAGUCGCGCGCAUAGAAGGCGUAUGCGCAGGGAAAGCUCGUAAAAUCCAUAAUUCUUGGCUCGUCGAAGGGACGCCCUUGCCUGCUCUCUCCGCAGGCUUUCAUGCUCCGUUGUGCCUCGAGAGCCCCGGGAGAGAUAAAAGAGGGAAACGUAUAGUGGGUGCGGGAAAACUGUCGGAGUAUAGGAGAACGCUCUUGUUUUAUCGAUGCAUCGAAUUUUAUUAUUACACAAUGCACGUGUACAGAUGGUCUGCGAAUAUUGACAGCCGGGAUGAAAGGUUGGAGUGGUGCUUUUUUCGGAUUAAUUCUUAUAGAUUCAUUCACGAACUGAUUUAUAAGCGUCUGACGAAGUCACAAAUGCAACGGAGUCGAAAAUCCCUUGGUUUUAAAAGCGCGGUACAUCAACAGAGCGAAUGAAAUCUCAUUGCGUUACCGGACAGCUCCGGCAUUGAAUUCGAAAAUUCGGUUAGUCCCUUGUUCCACGGUCACUGGCUGCCGUAUAUAGUGUAGGCAUCUCGAGUUUUUGCGCGUUGGCGUCGCACCCAGUCAGGCCAAUUUUCGCUAGUCCCUAUGCCAUACGUAUACAAAGCGCUCGUGCAGAUUUAGUAGAAGGCCAAAGACAAAGUCCGCUCGUGGAAACUUUCGCGUGCCAGCAUGAUUUCUGGCUGCGCGAUUGUGUUUGUAAAUUGAGGUGGCGGUUGUUCUGAUGCUUCCGGAUUCCCGAGUACUGUGCAAACUCUCUCUCUCUCUCUCUCUCUCUCUAUUUUAAUUUGCAUCUUUUUUCGUUCGUGACCGUUGAAAGGUCGUUUCGUAUAAUGGGAUAUGUAGAGAAGACUGAUGCGGAGUGCGUGCGCGUGUGAGUGUGUAUGUGUAUGAGUUGCGUAAAUUAUAUUGACGGAAGCGUGGUUCAGUUUGGACUUUUUCGUUCCUUUAAAUUUAUUGGAGGCCUUCUUCGGAUAUAGAAGAGACGCUUAUUAGAUUUAGUUUAAUAGCUUAUCGCGAUGCUUUAAAUAUUGUGGAAGAAAUAAUUGUAAAAUCUAUUAAGAACACAACAACGUGUGAAGCCACCAAGAAAAGAAACAUUGCGUGUAUCACUAAUCAUCGAUAACACUUGCGGUACACACGGAUAAGUCGAUGAUAAGACGGGACAAUAAUAGACACCUGCGCGCGAAAAAAAAAACUUUUAAUUACUCACACGAUAAAUACACGAGUGUGAUGAUUUCUAUCAGCUUCGCCUUGUACACACACACGCAUUAUCAUCGGGUGUACUCGCAAUUUUAUUAUUUACCGCAAUGGAAAAAACUGCAGACUCGCGAAUCUAUAAAUACACUGCAGGCAAUCGUUUUUGCAACGUAUACGUGGUGUCGUGGUGUAGGGAAAAACGGAGCCGAUUGAGCACACGCAUCGCACAUUCGAAGAAACGACGCUUUUCUCCUCCGGCGGUGAUGCGUGUCCGGCGAUAGUGCUGCAUUGUACACACACACAUGGCCGUUCGAUACGAGUCCGCGCGACAGAUCUGAAAAUGCCUGUUCCUCGAGUGCAGGCUUUGCUGUUGUUGUUGAGCUUUUGCUCGCGCGCGUCAUUACCUCCAACGAUCUUACUAUAUGCCAACGCGCAGGAAGUCGCGCGAAUGUUACUUUGUAGUUCGAGGCAGAGUUAUCUAUCAUGCUUAUUAUAUCAACAUUUUUUGCUAGGUCUUAUCGCGCUGCGCAUCUGACUGUUACACAGCAGAUGGAAACGCAGCAAUUUAUGUUAUUCGCUGUCUUUUAUAUUUGAGUAAUAGCAGCAAUCAAGGCUGCAAUUCAUGCGCGCACAAGUAUAUUUCACUGAAAUACACUCGAGUAUAACGUCAUCGUA